UGAGGAAUAUUGGUCAAUGGACGCAAGUCUGAACCAGCCAAGUAGCGUGCAGGAUGACGGCCCUAUGGGUUGUAAACUGCUUUUAUAUGGGGAUAAAGUGGGGAACGUGUUCCCUUUUGCAGGUACCAUAUGAAUAAGGACCGGCUAAUUCCGUGCCAGCAGCCGCGGUAAUACGGAAGGUUCGGGCGUUAUCCGGGUUUAUUGGGUUUAAAGGGAGCGUAGGCCGUUUGGUAAGCGUGUUGUGAAAUGUAGGAGCUCAACUUCUAGAUUGCAGCGCGAACUGUCAGACUUGAGUGCGCACAACGUAGGCGGAAUUCAUGGUGUAGCGGUGAAAUGCUUAGAUAUCAUGAAGAACUCCGAUUGCGAAGGCAGCUUACGUGAGCGCAACUGACGCUGAAGCUCGAAGGUGCGGGUAUCGAACAGG
rnacentral:rRNA from 1 species